GACACCGUGAGGUGUGGUGGGAAGCAAGGGGAGGUGAAAAGCUAGUCCGUAGGAUAACGAACUCGAUUCGGCCUGUUGUAACGGUGAGCCUGCUAGGUAAUGGCGAAGCCCAGACUUUUGAGAAAAAAAGGAAGCCUGUCAAGCUGAGGGGUAGCGUAAUAAAGCGAU
rfam:Candidatus Brocadia caroliniensis isolate 26THWARD NODE_302_length_4455_cov_33.57_ID_603, whole genome shotgun sequence.